rnacentral:miRNA from 1 species
CUCCCUGUACGUUAUUCCA